GACGAACGCUGGCGGCGUGGAUUAGGCAUGCAAGUCGAACGGUAUGGACCUUUCGGGGUUCAGAGAGUGGCGAACGGGUGAGUAACACGUAGGUAAUCUACCCUCAAGACGGGGACAACCCAGGGAAACUUGGGCUAAUACCGGAUGAGAGUGCGAGAGAUUGCAUUUAAAAGGAUGGCGAAAGUUGUCGCUUAGGGAUGAGCCUGCGGUCUAUUAGUUAGUUGGUGAGGUAAGAGCUCACCAAGGCGAUGAUAGAUAGGCGGCCUUAACGGGUGGUCGCCCACACUGGGAUUGAGAUACGGCCCAGACUCCUACGGGAGGCAGCAGUCGAGAAUAGUCUACAAUGGCCGGAAGGCUGAUAGUGCGACGCCGCGUGAACGAGGGAGCCCUUCGGGUGUAAAGUUCUUUUCGUAUACGAGCAGUGCUAUAUAUAUGGAUAGUAUAUAUAGAGGGAUAGUAGUAUAGGAAUAAGCAACGGCUAACUCCGUAGCCAACAGACCGGGUAACU
rnacentral:rRNA from 1 species